rnacentral:rRNA from 1 species
GAAAGACUAAUCGAACCAUCUAGUAGCUGGUUCCCUCCGAAGUUUCCCUCAGGAUAGCUGGAGCCUGUGCAGUGUAGUUUUAUCAGGUAAAGCGAAUGAUUAGAGGUAUUGGGGUUGAAAUGACCUCAACCUAUUCUCAAACUUUAAAUGGGUAAGAAGUACAGCUUACUUAAGUGAAGUUGUGCGUGAUUGAUUGAUUUCAAUCUCUCUGAAUACAGAGGCUCUUAGUGGGCCAUUUUUGGUAAGCAGAACUGGCGAUGCGGGAUGAACCGAACGCUGGGUUAAGGUGCCCAAGUCAACGCUCAUGAGAUCCCAUGAAAGGUGUUGGUUGAUACAGACAGCAGGACGGUGGCCAUGGAAGUCGGAAUCCGCUAAGGAGUGUGUAACAACUCACCUGCCGAAUCAACUAGCCCUGAAAAUGGAUGGCGCUCAAGCGUUGCACCUAUCCCCGGCCGCCGUGUGGAGAUAGCCAGUGCUGGUGACACGGCGUGUAGGAGGGCGCAGGGCUGUAUUGUUCUAAUUUCAGGCUGUGCAGGCUGAUGCGUGAGCUCAGCUGAAGCUGGCCCUGGUGCAGAUCUUGGUGGUAGUAGCAAUUAUUCAAAUGAGAACGCUUUACUUUGAAGGCCGAAGUGGAGAAGGGUUCCACGUGAACAGCAUUUGGACGUGGGUGAGUCGGUCCUAAGAGAUGGGCGAAAGCCUGGUUAGUAAGGGUGCAGAUGUGCUCCUCCUYCCCUGGGGGAGUAUGUCCAAUUGGUUCCAUCAUAUCUCUUCACGGAGUGUGUGUGGCCAAGGUGGCACCGUCUCUCGAAAGGGUAUCGGGUUAAUAUUCCCGAACCAGACACUUGGAUGCUGCGUGUUUGCCAUGCCUUCACGGGUGUGGUUCACGUGGAGCACGGUAACGUAUAUAUAUGUAUUGAUUACUCGGUGACGCUUGCGAUAGCCCUGGGAAGAGUUCUCUUUUCUUCUUAACCGUACCAACCGUGUGCACAGCCCUGGAAGCAGUUUACCUUGAGAGAGGGCUGGAGGUCGGGUAAAGCGCUGCACUUAUUGCAGCGUCCAGUGCGCUGUCGAGAGCCCUUGAAAAGCUGAGUUAGGACUGGAC